CCUACGGGAGGCAGCAGUGGGGAAUAUUGCACAAUGGGGGGAACCCUGAUGCAGCAACGCCGCGUGGGUGAAGAAGUACUUCGGUAUGUAAAGCCCUGUCAGCAGGGAAGAAAAUGACGGUACCUGACCAAGAAGCCCCGGCUAACUACGUGCCAGCAGCCGCGGUAAUACGUAGGGGGCAAGCGUUAUCCGGAUUUACUGGGUGUAAAGGGAGCGUAGACGGCAAGGCAAGUCUGGAGUGAAAGCCCGGGGCUCAACCACGGGACUGCUUUGGAAACUGUGUUGCUGGAGUGCAGGAGGGGUAAGCGGAAUUCCUAGUGUAGCGGUGAAAUGCGUAGAUAUUAGGAGGAACACCAGUGGCGAAGGCGGCUUACUGGACUGUAACUGACGUUGAGGCUCGAAGGCGUGGGGAGCAAACAGGAUUAGAUACCCGUGUAGUC
rnacentral:rRNA from 1 species